rnacentral:rRNA from 1 species
UACAGAGGUCUCAAGCGUUGUUCGGAUUCAUUGGGCGUAAAGGGUGCGUAGGCGGCGCGGUAAGUCGGGUGUGAAAUCUCGGGGCUUAACUCCGAAACUGCAUUCGAUACUGCCGUGCUUGAGGACUGGAGAGGAGACUGGAAUUUACGGUGUAGCGGUGAAAUGCGUAGAUAUCUGGAGGAACACCGGUGGCGAAGGCGGCAUCCUGGACCGGUAUUGACACUGAGGAGCGAAAGCCAGGGGGAGCAAACGGGG